rnacentral:rRNA from 1 species
GCCGUAAACAAUUAACUUACACCCAUCAGCGCCAGGGAAUUACGAGCAAUGCUUAAAACCCAAAGGAUUUGACGGUGUCCCAACCAGCUAGAGGAGCUUGUUCUAUAAUCGAUGAUCCCCGAUACACCCGACCAUUUUUAGCUUAUCAGUCUGUAUACCUCCGUCGAAAGCUUACCAUGUGAACGUUUCUCAGUAGGCUCAAUGAUUCAACACCCAUCAACACGUCAGGUCAAGGUGCAGCUUAAGAAAUGGGAAGCAAUUUGCUACAAUUUCUAAUUUAGAACAAACGAAAGGCUAUGUGAAAUCAUAACCACGAAGGUGGAUUUAGUAGUAAAAAGAAAAUAGAGUGUUCUUUUUAACCCGGCUCUGGGACGUGUACACACCGCCCGUCACCCUCUUCGAUAGUCCAUAAUACUGUCCCUAACCCUUUAUUACAUUUUAGAAGAGGCAAGUCGAAACAUGGUAAGUGUACUGGAAAGUGCACUUGGAAUAUA